UUAAGCGACUAAGCGUACACGGUGGAUGCCCUGGCAGUCAGAGGCGAUGAAGGACGUGCUAAUCUGCGAAAAGCGUCGGUAAGGUGAUAUGAACCGUUAUAGCCGGCGAUGUCCGAAUGGGGAAACCCAGUGCAAUUCGUUGCACUAUCGUUAACUGAAUACAUAGGUUAACGAGGCGAACCGGGGGAACUGAAACAUCUAAGUACCCCGAGGAAAAGAAAUCAACCGAGAUUCCCCCAGUAGCGGCGAGCGAACGGGGAGCAGCCCAGAGUCUGAAUCAGCUUGUGUGUUAGUGGAACGGUCUGGAAAGUCCGACGGUACAGGGUGAUAGUCCCGUACACCAAAAUGCACAGGUUGUGAACUCGAAGAGUAGGGCGGGACACGUGGUAUCCUGUCUGAAUAUGGGGGGACCAUCCUCCAAGGCUAAAUACUCCUGACUGACCGAUAGUGAACCAGUACCGUGAGGGAAAGGCGAAAAGAACCCCGGCGAGGGGAGUGAAAAAGAACCUGAAACCGUGUACGUACAAGCAGUGGGAGCACCUUCGGGUGUGACUGCGUACCUUUUGUAUAAUGGGUCAGCGACUUAUAUUCUGUAGCAAGGUUAACCGUAUAGGGGAGCCGCAGGGAAACCGAGUCUUAACUGGGCGUUAAGUUGCAGGGUAUAGACCCGAAACCCGGUGAUCUAGCCAUGGGCAGGUUGAAGGUUGGGUAACACUAACUGGAGGACCGAACCGACUAAUGUUGAAAAAUUAGCGGAUGACUUGUGGCUGGGGGUGAAAGGCCAAUCAAACCGGGAGAUAGCUGGUUCUCCCCGAAAGCUAUUUAGGUAGCGCCUCGUGAACUCAUCUUCGGGGGUAGAGCACUGUUUCGGCUAGGGGGUCAUCCCGACUUACCAACCCGAUGCAAACUACGAAUACCGAAGAAUGUUAUCACGGGAGACACACGGCGGGUGCUAACGUCCGUCGUGAAGAGGGAAACAACCCAGACCGCCAGCUAAGGUCCCAAAGUCAUGGUUAAGUGGGAAACGAUGUGGGAAGGCACAGACAGCCAGGAUGUUGGCUUAGAAGCAGCCAUCAUUUAAAGAAAGCGUAAUAGCUCACUGGUCGAGUCGGCCUGCGCGGAAGAUGUAACGGGGCUAAACCAUGCACCGAAGCUGCGGCAGCGACACUAUGUGUUGUUGGGUAGGGGAGCGUUCUGUAAGCCUGCGAAGGUGACCUGUGAGGGUUGCUGGAGGUAUCAGAAGUGCGAAUGCUGACAUAAGUAACGAUAAAGCGGGUGAAAAGCCCGCUCGCCGGAAGACCAAGGGUUCCUGUCCAACGUUAAUCGGGGCAGGGUGAGUCGACCCCUAAGGCGAGGCCGAAAGGCGUAGUCGAUGGGAAACAGGUUAAUAUUCCUGUACUUGGUGUUACUGCGAAGGGGGGACGGAGAAGGCUAUGUUAGCCGGGCGACGGUUGUCCCGGUUUAAGCAUGUAGGCUGGUUGUCCAGGCAAAUCCGGAUAAUCAAGGCUGAGGUGUGAUGACGAGGCACUACGGUGCUGAAGUAACAAAUGCCCUGCUUCCAGGAAAAGCCUCUAAGCAUCAGGUAACAUUAAAUCGUACCCCAAACCGACACAGGUGGUCAGGUAGAGAAUACCAAGGCGCUUGAGAGAACUCGGGUGAAGGAACUAGGCAAAAUGGUGCCGUAACUUCGGGAGAAGGCACGCUGGUGUGUAGGUGAAGUCCCUGCGGAUGGAGCUGAGACCAGUCGAAGAUACCAGCUGGCUGCAACUGUUUAUUAAAAACACAGCACUGUGCAAACACGAAAGUGGACGUAUACGGUGUGACGCCUGCCCGGUGCCGGAAGGUUAAUUGAUGGGGUUAUCCGUAAGGAGAAGCUCUUGAUCGAAGCCCCGGUAAACGGCGGCCGUAACUAUAACGGUCCUAAGGUAGCGAAAUUCCUUGUCGGGUAAGUUCCGACCUGCACGAAUGGCGUAAUGAUGGCCAGGCUGUCUCCACCCGAGACUCAGUGAAAUUGAACUCGCUGUGAAGAUGCAGUGUACCCGCGGCAAGACGGAAAGACCCCGUGAACCUUUACUAUAGCUUGACACUGAACAUUGAGCCUUGAUGUGUAGGAUAGGUGGGAGGCUUUGAAGCGUGGACGCCAGUCUGCGUGGAGCCAACCUUGAAAUACCACCCUUUAAUGUUUGAUGUUCUAACGUUGGCCCCUUACCGGGGUUGCGGACAGUGUCUGGUGGGUAGUUUGACUGGGGCGGUCUCCUCCCAAAGCGUAACGGAGGAGCACGAAGGUUAGCUAAUCCUGGUCGGACAUCAGGAGGUUAGUGCAAUGGCAUAAGCUAGCUUGACUGCGAGCGUGACGGCGCGAGCAGGUGCGAAAGCAGGUCAUAGUGAUCCGGUGGUUCUGAAUGGAAGGGCCAUCGCUCAACGGAUAAAAGGUACUCCGGGGAUAACAGGCUGAUACCGCCCAAGAGUUCAUAUCGACGGCGGUGUUUGGCACCUCGAUGUCGGCUCAUCACAUCCUGGGGCUGAAGUAGGUCCCAAGGGUAUGGCUGUUCGCCAUUUAAAGUGGUACGCGAGCUGGGUUUAGAACGUCGUGAGACAGUUCGGUCCCUAUCUGCCGUGGGCGCUGGAGAAUUGAGGGGGGCUGCUCCUAGUACGAGAGGACCGGAGUGGACGCAUCACUGGUGUUCGGGUUGUCAUGCCAAUGGCACUGCCCGGUAGCUAAAUGCGGAAGAGAUAAGUGCUGAAAGCAUCUAAGCACGAAACUUGCCCCGAGAUGAGUUCUCCCUGAGACUUUAAGUCUCCUGAAGGAACGUUAAAGACGAUGACGUUGAUAGGCCGGGUGUGUAAGCGCAGCGAUGCGUUGAGCUAACCGGUACUAAUGAACCGUGAGGCUUAACCUU
rnacentral:rRNA from 1 species